AUUGAACGCUGGCGGCAUGCCUUACACAUGCAAGUCGAACGGCAGCGCGGGAGCAAUCCUGGCGGCGAGUGGCGAACGGGUGAGUAAUAUAUCGGAACGUGCCCAGUAGUGGGGGAUAGCCCGGCGAAAGCCGGAUUAAUACCGCAUACGACCUGAGGGUGAAAGCGGGGGAUCGCAAGACCUCGCGCUAUUGGAGCGGCCGAUAUCAGAUUAGCUAGUUGGUGGGGUAAAGGCCUACCAAGGCAACGACCUGUAGUUGGUCUGAGAGGACGACCAGCCACACUGGGACUGAGACACGGCCCAGACUCCUACGGGAGGCAGCAGUGGGGAAUUUUGGACAAUGGGCGCAAGCCUGAUCCAGCAAUGCCGCGUGCAGG
rnacentral:rRNA from 1 species